GGAUGUGAGGGUGAUCUGGCUGCAAGAUCUGUCACCCCAUUGAUCACCAGCUUUGAUUUGGCUGAUCUGGCUGGCUAGGUGCAUGUCCCUUUCCUCCCACAUGGCUCCAUGUGUGUCCCUCCAAAAGCUGCACACUUGUGCUCUGUUGAAGAGGACGACCUUCCCUUUUAAAGGAGAACCAUUCUUUGGCCAAGGGUAUACAAGUAGCUACACUCCCCUGUUAGAACCUCCAAACAAACUCUCCAGGUCCAUUUGUAGGAGAACAAAGGGUAGUCAAGCUUCCAAGACUCCAGACACAUCCAAAUGAGGUGCGGCUUGUGGCAGUCUGCCUUACUUA
ensembl:misc_RNA 7SK 7SK RNA